AGGGGUAUUUGCAAGAAAUGUCUUGCAAGUGUCAAGAACACACAUUUCGAAGGUGUUGUAAAUUGUUCUUGAAAAGUUCAAAACAGUUGGUUCUUUUACUUGAAUGCUUGAUUCCGUAUUAGUAACUAUGUUUUACAAUCGUUGUAAAAGUGUGGCUAAUAAAAAGUAGAAGAUUAAGGAGAGAAGAGAAAGUACUUCACAUUCGGAACGUGAAUCAAAUGUAGAUCUUUACGAAAGCAGAUGGUACUUACUUCCUCAUAUGAACUACCAAAGAAAUUGGAAAAACCAUAGAUUGUCUUUACAUUCCAAUUUUAAGGAACUUAAUUCCAUCACUAUAAGGGAUGGAUGAAUGUUUUGUUUGACAAAACAUUGUUCUUUAUUAAUGAAUGAUUAGAUUAUUGUAAUCUAAUUGAUUGUCUCUAUAGUAGAGAUGAUAUGGUAGUGUUAACUGUUUAGAAAAUAACGAUGCUUAAAACCCAAAAGGUUGCAAGAUAGUGACUAAUCCCAACUGAGUUGUGAUACCUCUAAAACAUAAAUUACGAGUUGGUCAUAGAUGGAUGCUUUGGAUCAUUAGAUCCGGAUCCAAUACCUUCUUAUUAAAAUUGUAUAGAGGUGAAAUGUUCGAAUCUUUAUUCUUUUGGAAAGGAAGAAAGAAUCACAAAGUUGUUGAGGUUAAUUCACUUAGAUGUUAGUGGCACUUGUCCACAACAUAAUACUACUCAUGUUGUAUGACAUUCACCGAAGAUCGCUCUCGGUUAGACUAUCAUUUAUUUUGAAUAAACACAAGUCCGAAUACUUUGCAGAAGGUUUCAAAGAAUUCAAGAAAUGUAAGUUGAUGAGUAAGAUGUCUAAAGUAUUUACCUCCUUAGAUUUGAUCCAAGGAAAGGUAAACACUUUAGAACAGUUUCCUUGAAAGAUAUCAAGGAAAGAAGCAUCAUAUGAUAAUGGAUUUCUCCAUUAAGAGAAGAACGAACUCGAAAUAAGAUUUAGUUCGUUGGAUGUUAUCAAUUGCCCAUAUAUAGGAUAUAUACUUCUAAGACAAUAUGAUUGUCAAUUAGAAGAUCUUCCAAAAUUUUCAUAACCCCAUAGGAUAUAGUUGGAAAGAAAGACAAAUCUUAAUCAUGUUAAGAUUUGGGGUUGUGUGCUAAUAAGCAAUAUUUGUUUAAAGAAUUAUCUUGUGGGUAUCCUUAAAUUAACAUUUCGAUAUCACUUCUAUAAACCAACUAACAAAUGUUGUUUGUUGGGUAGUUCAUUGUAAUCAUACAAUAUGAUUUGCCUAACGCAAAUGAACGAGAGAUAGAACUCAAAGAAUGGGUUCUUUGAGAGACAAGAUGAUAAUCAACAAAUAUAACAACCUAGUUCCUAUGACACAAGCUCCCAGGUAGUCGAGAAGGAUUAUAAACUGUCUCAGUUGAAUGGUUUGAACUUUAUGACUAUGUCAUAGAGUUACACCUCUUAAUUCGAAAAAAAAUAAGAAUGAAAAUCCUUAUGACUACGUUAAGUGUAUAUACGACAUAUACUCAAGGAAAUCGUAAAGUACCAUUUGACCCGAAAUAAUGAAACCUUUAUAGCUAAUUGGUAGCUUAAGGUGACUACAACUAAAGAGAUUGGUUGACUUGGAAGAAACCAUCUUUGACGUAGUCUUGGUUUCAAUUAAUUCGAAGAUUGCUAGCUACAACUAAAUGGUGAUUCAAUGUUUGGACAUAAUAUGGGUUUCCGAAACCAUUAUUAAGAUAGUCUUGAUAAUAUAUGUCUAAAACUAUGAAUCACAAGACAUGUAAGUUGUAGAGAUCCAUCCAUCAUGGAUCUUAGCAAGCUAAUGGGAGCUAUAAAUGUCUUAUGAGAGAAAGAUCAAAUCGUUGAUUUCUCAUAAAGAUGUAAAUGAAUCCUUUGUUUACUACGUUUACAAAAGAUUAGUGGGAGUUAAUCAUGUUCCUAAAAUUGAAUAUAUAUAUACAAAUAUAUGAUAUAUUAAUUUUGGAAAUGAAAAAGAAUACUUCUUCGUUAAAGUUAUGACUUUAAACAUUCUAUAACGAUAGAAUGUAUAUGGGAGACAUAGUCUAUAAACAUGGGAUGUAAAUCUAUAAUGAUAGAUUUCAGGAUAUAAUUGGAUUAUAUCAAGCCCUAAUGAUAGAUUCCUCAAAGAAUGAGGAAGAAUUAGAAUAACGUAAUGGAAGCGUAAAUGUAUUAGAUUAUGAAUCUAAUCCAUCAUUGAAUGUUUCUUCAUUAUGAAUGAAGAGAUAAUCAGAUAUCUCUUUAUUAUAACUAAAGAGAUAUUUGGAUGGAAACAUUAAAAGUAAUGACUUUAGUGUGUUCCAUUGUGAAUGCAAAAUAUAUUGCCAUAUAGAAGCUUACAACAAUGUUGUUUGGAUGAGAAAGUUCAUUCAUGAACUCUCUAUUCGGUUCCAACCGGAAAAUGUCUAUAGUGUACCGACACUACGACACUAAUGGGGCGAUAGCUCAAGCUAGGGAAUCAAGGUCUCAUCAAGAUCUGAACUCAAAUGAGAGACUGAACCACAUGAUUGAGAAUCAUGUAUAAUGGUGACGUCGUUAUUCUCAAGGUUGCUUCUAUGGAUAACAUAUAGAUAUCCAUUGUCUAGACCUACUACUUAGCCAUUUUUGAAAUGACUAAAGAAGAGGUAUCAUCACUGAUGACCAAGCUGAUUGGCUCUAGUGCAAGUGGGAGAUUGUUGGAAAUGUGCCCUAAAACCAAUCAUGUGAUGAUACUUUACGGACAUUUCACAUGUUAAACUAAUCUAGUUUAAUAUCAAAGGCAAAGAUUAUUGUUUUAAGCCGUCUCAUAUAAAUGUUAUAUGCUUAAACGAUA
rnacentral:lncRNA from 1 species